UAAUACAUCGGAACGUGUCUUCUAGUGGAGGAUAACUGCCCGAAAGGGCAGCUAAUACCGCAUGAGACCUGAGGGUGAAAGCGGGGGAUCGCAAGACCUCGCGCUGGAAGAGCGGCCGAUGUCCGAUUAGCUAGUUGGUGAGGUAAAGGCUCACCAAGGCGACGAUCGGUAGCUGGUCUGAGAGGACGACCAGCCACACUGGGACUGAGACACGGCCCAG
rnacentral:rRNA from 1 species